CACCCCGGGAAUAGGCAAAGAUACACUUUGUUGGUGGAGUUGUUCUGAUAUCAGUGAGGGGCAGAGCAGAUGGCAGUCCUUUGUUCAUUCUAGCUUGGAGUCUGCUUUGGUGGCCAGAGCUGUCUUAUGCCUAGGACUCAAAA